rnacentral:lncRNA from 1 species
GUUAUCUUUGCUUGAAUGUCUCUUAUAAAGCCUUUUUUUGUAAUUAUGCUGGAGGCCAACUUCAUAUAUAUACUUUAACUCUAUAUUAAGGUCUUGCUGUUCCGUAAAGUAUAGGUAUGUUCUUUUAAAGAAAGCUCUGAAUGCUGCCUUUUUAUAUGCUACAAGGUCUGGCGACCAAUUGGGUAUUAUGGUUGGCUGGUAUUCUGAUUUCCUGUAUACUAUGGUCCUCAGUCUACUUCCAUCUUAUUUAUAAUAUUUAUAUUUAUGUCUAAAAAGUGUGCUGAUAUUUGGCUUUGCUGUAGUUUAUUAAGUUUCAAACCAUAUGCAGAUAGGGUGAAAGCUUUUUCCAGUUCUGUAGUUUUAGUUUCAUCUUCCCACAAGGUGAAUAUAUCAUCCACGUAUCUGAUGUAUAGUUUUAGGAAUGGCUCAAAUUCCUUUAGGGUUACUUGCCCUCCCUGCCUUAAGAGUAUUCUUAAGGCAGGUAGAGCAAGUCAAUCAAUAUCCAAUCUGGCUUGGGCUCUUCAAAUAAUCAAACAGGCAAUAUUGAAUUUAUGAUUGGUGGGUGCAUCCCCAAAUUUAUCCUUCUUCAUGGCGAUGGGCAAUGCAGAGUGGUUGCUGAUUUCAAAUUCAC